rnacentral:rRNA from 1 species
CCUACGGGAGGCAGCAGUGAGGAAUUUUCGGCAAUGGGGGCAACCCUGACCGAGCAACGCCGCGUGCAGGAUGACAGUCUUCGGAUUGUAAACUGCUUUUCUCGGGGACGAGUAAGGACGGUACCGGAGGAAGAAGCCCCGGCUAACUACGUGCCAGCAGCCGCGGUAAUACGUAGGGGGCGAGCGUUGUCCGGAGUUACUGGGCGUAAAGGGCACGCAGGCGGUCUGAUAAGUUCGGAGUGACAAUCCUCGGCUUAACUGAGGAGGGUCUUCGAAGACUGUCCGACUUUAGGGCUCACGAGGGACACGGAAUUCCGGGUGGAGUGGUGAAAUGCGUAGAUAUCCGGAGGAACACCAAAGGCGAAGGCAGUGUCCUGGGGAGUACCUGACGCUCAGGUGCGAAAGCUAUGGGAGCGAACGGGAUUAGAUACCCCGGUAGUC